rnacentral:rRNA from 1 species
GACGAACGCUGGCGGCGUGCUUAACACAUGCAAGUGGAGCGACGAACCAGGCUUCGGCCUGGGGCAAAGCCGCGAACGGGUGAGUAACACGUGGGUAACCUGCCCUGAUGACCGGGACAACCCGAGGAAACUCGGGCUAAUACCGGAUGUGCUCCCAUCACAUCAGUGAUGUGAGUAAAGGUAGCUUCGGCCUCCGCAUCGGGAUGGGCCCGCGGCGCAUUAGCUUGUUGGGGGGUAAAGGCCUACCAAGGCAACGAUGCGUAGCUGGUCUGAGAGGACGAUCAGCCACACUGGGACUGAGACACGGCCCAGACUCCUACGGGAGGCAGCAGUAAGGAAUAUUGGUCAAUGGGCGGAAGCCUGAACCAGCCAUGCCGCGUGCAGGAAGACAGCCCUACGGGUCGUAAACUGCUUUUGCAGGGGAAUAAACCUCAUUACGUGUAAUGAGCUGAAUGUACUCUGAGAAUAAGGA